UGAGCCCGAACCAUAAGAAGGCUGGAGACAUUGGCUUUUAGGAGCCCUGAGCUGCCAUCUCCAAUAGAAACCCCAACUGAGACCAACAGAGAAACCGCAGAGCUGAGCACCAGUCAAACCACCGAAUUGUGCAAAACAUUAAGAAGGCUGUUGUUUUAAGUGACUAAGUGUUGUGAGAGUUCCUUAUAUAGCAGUGCAGGUUUGAGGACAUUAUACAUCUUCAACAACUACUUUGUAUGUUGACUAAACAGCAUAUGUUAUUGGCUACAAACCAUAAUAGACGCAAGUUGAUUUAAUAUUAAAAAUAGUCUUUCUUGACAUCUUAUUGAAGGUCCAACUCAUGCCCAGAAUAUCAAGAUUUAAGAAAACA